GUAUCUGAGCCCUGGUAUUCCAGUCAGGGCAUACAAAUCCUUGAAGAUCUUAAAAGGGCCCUGCAGAGAUCUCGGAGGGGGGUAGGUCUGGUGAUAGCAGGAAUUGCCACCCUCAUUGCAUUAAUAGCCUCUUCUGUGAUGGCUGCUGUGACCUUAGCUGAAACAGUUCAAACUGCACAAUUUGUUAAUCAAUUGUCUGAAAAUGUGAAUUGGCUUUGGAGAUGCAGGAGGAUAUUGACAGAAGGGUGGAACAUAAAUUAAAUGCCCUAUACUCAGUAGUUUUACAUUUGGGAGAUGAAUUUGAAACCUUAAAAAUGAAAUUUAAGCUACAAUGUCAUGUAAAUUAUAAUUGGAUGUGUGUCACUGGAAAGGAAUUUAAUUUUUCACAAUAUAAUUGGGAAAAGGUUCAAUUGCAUUUGCAGGGUGUGUGGCAUCAUGAGAACCUGUCCCUGGAUUUGUUACGCUUACAUCAGGAGAUAGUUGCCAUGCAGGAAGCCGAACCUCUUCAUUUUGAUGCCUCAGAAUAUGCUCAACAAUUUUUAAGUCAAUUAUUAGAUCAUUUGCCUUCCCUGAUGGGAGUCUCUCAUAUGUUAAUUGGUCUUUUGGUGGUGAUUGGAGUUCUUUUGAUGAUUUCUAUGUUGCUCCCUUGUCUAUUUAAAUUUGUCUUGCAGACUUUUUCCUGUGCCUUUGGAGAGAUUCAUGGCCUUUGGCUUCGUGCUUUGCCUCCCCAACUGGAACCGUUCAACAGGUGACGGCAGGCUCCGUCACACAUCUAAAAAAUGAAAUAACUA